rnacentral:rRNA from 1 species
GAUGAACGCUAGCUACAGGCUUAACACAUGCAAGUCGAGGGGAAACGACAUCGAAAGCUUGCUUUUGAUGGGCGUCGACCGGCGCACGGGUGAGUAACGCGUAUCCAACCUGCCCACCACUUGGGGAUAACCUUGCGAAAGUAAGACUAAUACCCAAUGAUAUCCCACGAAGACAUCUGAAUGGGAUUAAAGAUUUAUCGGUGAUGGAUGGGGAUGCGUCUGAUUAGCUUGUUGGCGGGGUAACGGCCCACCAAGGCAACGAUCAGUAGGGGUUCUGAGAGGAAGGUCCCCCACAUUGGAACUGAGACACGGUCCAAACUCCUACGGGAGGCAGCAGUGAGGAAUAUUGGUCAAUGGGCGAGAGCCUGAACCAGCCAAGUAGCGUGCAGGAAGACGGCCCUAUGGGUUGUAAACUGCUUUUAUAAGGGAAUAAAGUGGGUCACAUGUGACUUUUUGCAUGUACCUUAUGAAUAAGGACCGGCUAAUUCCGUG